CAGAGAAUUCUCCCUACCUCUGAAGCCUUUUUAUUGCUGAUGAAACUCGACUUCAGCCAGAGAAAUCUUCUCAUUCGUGUUACUGUGAGAUAUUUCAGGCCCACACUUGUGAGGGCCCAAAAUAAAAGCAGAAGUGAUUGCGGGGCAGAGCCAGCUCUGUGAGUUAAAAUGAAGUCUAGCCACGUGAGUGAAGCUAAGAAUUUGCAGCAUGACCUUUAGUGCUAGAAGUAGACCCUCCAAAAUAAAAGGAAUUAAAUCUUCAGACUGCAGUGAUGACCCUAAAUUAGGUGAUAGAUUUUGCUAAGUGGUCCCGCAGAACAGCUCUGCAGAGAAAUGAUUGAAAGUUAAUCUGUUCCGCUGAGAUGAGAAGUGUAUCUUUGUCCUUGGGAAACUGCAGUCUGUCCAGGCAGUGACCUUCUUGGAGCCGUACCAUUUCUCAGGUGGUAUGCGGACACUUUCCUUGUGGAUGAGAAACAGCAUUCAAAAUACCAACUGCUCACAGUAUUAAAUAUUCUUUCAUAACCUUCAAAGCUGACCCUAGUGCUGUUGAGCUGACCCUAGUGCUGUUGGAAAUAAGCAGUAAGGAUGAACUUCGUGAUAGAAUUAGCAGCAACUGAGAUUUUCAUCAUGAGAGUAAGAGCCUCACUCACCUUGGUAGUGCCGUGUCCUGCUAGAGUUCUCCCAGAGUGUCUUCCACAGAAGAUUGCUUCUGGUCAUCAGAAGUGAGUGUAUCCAGGUACCUGACGGACUGAGUUUCUCAUGUUUUACAUGUGCUCAGUUUUUCCUUAUA